CCUUCAUGAAGCCGGAAUUGCUAGUAAUGGCAGGUCAGCAUACUGCCGUGAAUACGUUCCCGGGCCUUGUACACACCGCCCGUCACACCAUGAGAGUUGGAGAUACCCGAAGCCUGUGAGCUGACAAACGAGGCAGCAGUCGAAGGUAGAAUCAAUGAUUGGGGUGAAGUCGUAACAAGGUAAC
rnacentral:rRNA from 1 species